AUUGAACGCUGGCGGCAGGCCUAACACAUGCAAGUCGAGCGAGCGGCGGACGGGUGAGUAAUGUCUGGGAAACUGCCUGAUGGAGGGGGAUAACUACUGGAAACGGUAGCUAAUACCGCAUACCAUCAGAUGUGCCCAGAUGGGAUUAGCUAGUAGGUGGGGUAACGGCUCACCUAGGCGACGAUCCCUACCUGGUCUGAGAGGAUGACCAGCCACACUGGAACUGAGACAAGGUCCAGACUCCUACGGGAGGCAGCAGUGGGGAAUAUUGCACAAUGGGCGAAAGCCGGAUGCAGCAAUGCGGCGUGUGUGAAGAAGGCCUUCGGGUUGUAAAGCACUUUCAGCGGGGAGGCGUUACCCGAAGAAGAAGCACCGGAUAACUCCGUGCCAGCAGCCGCGGUAAUUG
rnacentral:rRNA from 1 species